UUUAUGGAGAGUUUGAUCCUGGCUCAGGAUGAACGCUGGCGGCGUGCCUAAUACAUGCAAGUCGAGCGAACGGACGAGAAGCUUGCUUCUCUGAUGUUAGCGGCGGACGGGUGAGUAACACGUGGAUAACCUACCUAUAAGACUGGGAUAACUUCGGGAAACCGGAGCUAAUACCGGAUAAUAUUUUGAACCGCAUGGUUCAAAAGUGAAAGACGGUCUUGCUGUCACUUAUAGAUGGAUCCGCGCUGCAUUAGCUAGUUGGUAAGGUAACGGCUUACCAAGGCAACGAUGCAUAGCCGACCUGAGAGGGUGAUCGGCCACACUGGAACUGAGACACGGUCCAGACUCCUACGGGAGGCAGCAGUAGGGAAUCUUCCGCAAUGGGCGAAAGCCUGACGGAGCAACGCCGCGUGAGUGAUGAAGGUCUUCGGAUCGUAAAACUCUGUUAUUAGGGAAGAACAUAUGUGUAAGUAACUGUGCACAUCUUGACGGUACCUAAUCAGAAAGCCACGGCUAACUACGUGCCAGCAGCCGCGGUAAUACGUAGGUGGCAAGCGUUAUCCGGAAUUAUUGGGCGUAAAGCGCGCGUAGGCGGUUUUUUAAGUCUGAUGUGAAAGCCCACGGCUCAACCGUGGAGGGUCAUUGGAAACUGGAAAACUUGAGUGCAGAAGAGGAAAGUGGAAUUCCAUGUGUAGCGGUGAAAUGCGCAGAGAUAUGGAGGAACACCAGUGGCGAAGGCGACUUUCUGGUCUGUAACUGACGCUGAUGUGCGAAAGCGUGGGGAUCAAACAGGAUUAGAUACCCUGGUAGUCCACGCCGUAAACGAUGAGUGCUAAGUGUUAGGGGGUUUCCGCCCCUUAGUGCUGCAGCUAACGCAUUAAGCACUCCGCCUGGGGAGUACGACCGCAAGGUUGAAACUCAAAGGAAUUGACGGGGACUCGCACAAGCGGUGGAGCAUGUGGUUUAAUUCGAAGCAACGCGAAGAACCUUACCAAAUCUUGACAUCCUUUGACAACUCUAGAGAUAGAGCCUUCCCCUUCGGGGGACAAAGUGACAGGUGGUGCAUGGUUGUCGUCAGCUCGUGUCGUGAGAUGUUGGGUUAAGUCCCGCAACGAGCGCAACCCUUAAGCUUAGUUGCCAUCAUUAAGUUGGGCACUCUAAGUUGACUGCCGGUGACAAACCGGAGGAAGGUGGGGAUGA
rnacentral:rRNA from 1 species